GCGUGGCCCCGGGAGGCGGCGGACGCGGGGACAUCUUCUCAGCGCGCGGAUUCUCUCCACGGUCCGGCCUCCCCGUCCCCGCCCCGCCCUCGCGCCAGCCACCUCCGGCCGCCGGCUCAGAUCUCUGGAAGGGACUCAACAAAGCUUUCCUAAAUUAAUUGGCUCUGACGGUACCUUCUUAAGGAUUUCUGGUGUGGCUCUGACAUAUAAGCAACUCAGAUAACUACAGAAAACUGUGUGUAAAAAUCAGCCCACCAGUAUUUGAAACAAGUAUGCACUGUUCUUU
rnacentral:lncRNA from 10 species